rnacentral:rRNA from 1 species
AUUGAACGCUGGCGGCAUGCCUUACACAUGCAAGUCGAACGGCAGCACGGGAGCAAUCCUGGUGGCGAGUGGCGAACGGGUGAGUAAUGUAUCGGAACGUGCCCAGUCGUGGGGGAUAACGCAGCGAAAGCUGUGCUAAUACCGCAUACGAUCUAAGGAUGAAAGCGGGGGAUCGCAAGACCUCGCGCGAUUGGAGUGGCCGAUAUCAGAUUAGCUAGUUGGUGGGGUAAAGGCUCACCAAGGCGACGAUCUGUAGCUGGUCUGAGAGGACGACCAGCCACACUGGAACUGAGACACGGUCCAGACUCCUACGGGAGGCAGCAGUGGGGAAUUUUGGACAAUGGGCGCAAGCCUGAUCCAGCAAUGCCGCGUGCAGGAUGAAGGCCUUCGGGUUGUAAACUGCUUUUGUACGGAGCGAAAAGGCUCUCUCUAAUACAGGGGGCUCAUGACGGUACCGUAAGAAUAAGCACCGGCUAACUACGUGCCAGCCGCCGCAGUAA